CAUCACCUACCUCUGUAUAAUUCAAUUUCAAGCAUUUUGGAGAAAUGGGGAGUUUUCCCAUUUGUGUCCGUUAGGAUCUCCACUGAUUGGCAUUGGAGGUUCCUUCUCACACGGGCUGGACUUCAUUAUCGUUCUCCUUUCUUCUCUGCUUCGUGUCUGUACUCGGUACAUGGCACGGGAAGAGGAUGGUGACGAUGUCCGUCGAGGCCAAGCUGCUUUUGCUACGCAACAAGAGCAUGAUGUAAUGAAGAGGCAGCUUUCAAGGGCCAGUGCCCUGCCACGGCCGAGAAAGGUCCAUCACCAUCAAGGUCCCGUUUCAGGCAUGAAAGCCUUUUUCCUCGGCAGGUCGGGGGGAUGGGCGUUUUCUUGCCCUGCGGAACGGGCCAUCGAUCCGGUUGUUCGACUGUGCUGAUACCCGCAGGAGUAGCACAAGCCUUGAGACUCCACUUUGACGGGAUCAGCACGCAGUUUGAUCCCGGUGCCAUUGGGGGUUUUCCUAUGCAACCAGCUAUUUUCUUGCCAAAAAGAAUCCCUGGUGGCAAGAAGGUGUGAAACCCAGAUGUUAGCAUACUACAUGAUUCAGGAGACAUAUUUCCCUCAGGAGUUUGCAGUGCUCUCAUCAUCUUCUGAGUUUCUGCAUGAAUUAUUGCCCAAAUUUUGAUUUUCGGCUUUUGCUUUGCCAAUCACUGAGCUUCCCCUGAUUUGCUGUAAUGUCACAAAGAAAGAGAGAAAUAUAGUUAACCGGAGAAUAAAGGAGACGAGAAAGAGAUUUUGGGCCUUCCUUUUGUCUAUUUCCCGGUUACUAAUUAUGUAAGGAUGUUUUAGAUUCCUCGAUAUAAUCUCUAUACUCUUUCAUUC